rnacentral:rRNA from 1 species
AACGAACGCUGGCGGCAUGCCUAACACAUGCAAGUCGAACGAGACCUUCGGGUCUAGUGGCGCACGGGUGCGUAACGCGUGGGAACCUGCCCUUAGGUUCGGAAUAACUCCCCGAAAGGGGUGCUAAUACCGGAUAAUGUCUUCGGACCAAAGAUUUAUCGCCUUUGGAUGGGCCCGCGUUGGAUUAGCUAGUUGGUAAGGUAAAAGCCUACCAAGGCGACGAUCCAUAGCUGGUCUGAGAGGAUGAUCAGCCACACUGGGACUGAGACACGGCCCAGACUCCUACGGGAGGCAACAGUGGGGAAUAUUGGACAAUGGGCGAAAGCCUGAUCCAGCAAUGCCGCGUGAGUGAUGAAGGCCUUAGGGUUGUAAAGCUCUUUUACCCGGGAUGAUAAUGACAGUACCGGGAGAAUAAGCGCCGGCUAACUCCGUG